AAGACACCGAAACAAGGAUUUCAGUGCAAGUUGUUUCAUGGGAGACUUCAAGAAGCAUCAGGGUCGAUCCCAGCACUUUGGGAGGCCAAGGACAUCUUUCAAUGGCUCCUGGCCAACUGGCAGCAGAAUUUUACCUUCCUGUGCAUGAAUGACCUUGGAUAUUAUUCUUGGUGGCAUGACUGGACACCUGCAGCCUCUUGAUGUUUCCAGUCAAAAAGGUAUUUAAGAGCCAUUUGUCAGGCGGACCACUUGAGCCCACGAGUUUGAGGCCAGCCUGGGCAGCAUAGUGGCACGCUGUUUCUAAAAAACAAAACAAAACAAAAACAAAACAAACAAACAAACAAACAAAAAACGAAAGAAAGGAAGAAAGAAAGAGAAAAGAGCAGUAAUAUCUUCAUCACUGGUCAUUGGUCAUUGUCUUUAAAACAACUUUCCAUCGAUAUCUUCUGGGGAGAACAAGAGAGCACUAGUGUCAAAACUUCAACCAGCUUGGAAGAAAAUUCUGGAGAUAAGAGAGCAAUAAUUUUUUAGGUUGAAUCACAUAAGUUUGCCAUCUUUUGGUCAAAAACAGUCUAAUGAGCAAUUUCACUUGGUUCCACUUACAAGAAAAGUUCCAUCUCUAACACUCUUGAUGGGACUGUGUGCAGAAAUAAGGGCAUUGACAAGUCGGAAUUAAAACAUAAUCUAGAAGGGUUGCAUUCUGAAUAUAAAAAGUUUUAGGAAUAUUUAAACCAGUUUGUUUUACUUAUAUUUUCCUUCUUUAUACAUAUGACAAGAGUAAUAUUUUUUAAAAAAUUAUUUAAAGGCCUAUUCAUAGCUUGAAAAAAAAUUCUUGCAGUAAAAGCAUUUGCAAAAAUAUGAAAUAAAAUUUGAC
rnacentral:lncRNA from 10 species